rnacentral:rRNA from 1 species
UACGAGGGGAGCUAGCGUUGUUCGGAAUUACUGGGCGUAAAGGGCGUGUAGGCGGUACCAUAAGUCAGAUGUGAAAGCCCUGGGCUUAACCUAGGAUGUGCAUUUGAUACUGUGGAACUAGAGAUCGGGAGAGGAAAGUGGAAUUACGAGUGUAGAGGUGAAAUUCGUAGAUAUUCGUAAGAACACCAGUGGCGAAGGCGGCUCACUGGACCGGUAUUGACGCUGAGGUGCGAAAGCGUGGGGAGCAAACAGG